UCAUCUCAUGCUGAAACACCAGUUCCUGUAUGAUCACAUAAGUUAAGCAAUGUCGAUCUAGGUUAGUACCUAGAUGGGUGACUGCUUGUGAAUACCAGGUGCUGUAAG